CUCGACAACAGAUAUCUCGGCUCUCGCAUCGAUAAAGAACGUAGUGAAAUGCGAUACUUGGUGUGAAUUGCAGAAUCCCAUGAACCAUUGAGUUUUUGAACACAAGUUGCAUCUGAAGCCUUCUGGCCGAUAAGCACAUCUUUCUGGGCAUCACG
rnacentral:rRNA from 1 species